AAAGGGUGCGUAGGUGGGUUUGUAAGUCAGCGGUGAAAUCUACGAGCUUAACUCGUAAAUUGCCAUUGAUACUAUAGAUCUUGAAUUAUCUGGAGGUAAGCGGAAUAUGUCAUGUAGCGGUGAAAUGCUUAGAUAUGACAUAGAACACCAAUUGCGAAGGCAGCUUACUACGGAUAUAUUGACACUGAGGCACGAAAGCGUGGGGAUCAAACAGGAUUAGAUACCCUAGU
rnacentral:rRNA from 1 species